rnacentral:lncRNA from 1 species
AGUCAUUAACUCCUGAUUCUUAAGGUUAGUCAUUAACUCCUGAUUCUUAAGGUUAGUCAUUAACUCCUGAUUCUUAAGGUUAGUCAUUAACUCCUGAUUCUUAAGGUUAGUCAUUAUUAACUCCUGAUUCUUAAGGUUAGUUAUUAACUCCUGAUUCUUAAGGUUAGUCAUUAUUAACUCCUGAUUCUUAAGGUUAGUCAUUAACUCCUGAUUCUUAAGGUUAGUCAUUAUUAACUCCUGAUUCUUAAGGUUAGUCAUUAACUCCUGAUUCUUAAGGUUAGUCAUUAUUAACUCCUGAUUCUUAAGGUUAGUCAUUAACUCCUGAUUCUUAAGGUUAGUCAUUAACUCCUGAUUCUGAAGGUUAGUCAUUAACUCCUGAUUCUAAAGGUUAGUCAUUAACUCCUGAUUCUUAAGGUUAGUCAUUAACUCCUGAUUCUUAAGGUUAGUCAUUAACUCCUGAUUCUAAAGGUUAGUCAUUAACUCCUGAUUCUUAAGGUUAGUCAUUAACUCCUAAGCCUACUUGAAGGUAACAGCUCUCACUGUUGCCCCUAGUGGCCAGUUUCCACAUCUUCUCCUCAGACAUGGGUGAACGUCCAAUACCAUUUUGAAUCGCCGGAAUGUUAAGGGUUCUGCUCUCCUCUGUUGCGACCAAAUGGAAUAAGCUACUGUGCAGUGUGUGUCUGUGUGUGCACUGUGUGUGUGUGUGUGCUGUGUUUGUUCGUGUGUGAGAGAGAAAGGGUGUGAGAGAGAAAGGGUGUGAGAGAGGGAGAGAGAGAGAGGGAGA